GGAAUUGCACUUACUGACAAGUGCUAAACAGGUUUGGGUCAGGCUCAUGACGUUAAACAAGCGCUACUAGGAGGCAACCUAGUUUUCUCUCUUUUACUUUUACUUUUUAAAUUUCUAGAAUAGGUUGAAUUUUAAUUUCAGUGUGUAUCCUUGGCUUGAAUAUUUUUUCUGAAAAUGUUUGACUGACUGAUGUGCAUGGUGAGACUAUUUGAUGAUGAUUUGACAUGAUUGAUAAGUGAGUUGCUUUGCAUGUUAAUAUUCUAUGAAACAGAUGUGUGAUAAAUUAUGAUUGUGGUUAUGAUGCUAAGCAGGGUGUAUGAAUGGAUUUUGUGUGAGGUAUUGAGCUCCAGAGUUUUUAUUGUUGUAUGCAUUGUUCACAGGAAAACAUGAAUGAUAUUGCCUUAAUCUUGAUGAUUGAUUGAAUUGCAUGUGAAUGUCAUAUGAUCAAGGCCAUUUUUGAGAACCCUUCUCUAGCCAAAUUUUCACCCAAAGUGCUUGAAAAUAUUAUUCCCUUUUUGUCUUGAACAGGAUGUGAACCCUUGUCUUGAAAUUCUUUACCUUGAGUUGGGUUGAGUUUAAUUGUAUGCGAUGAAAAGGUUCAAGUUUGGGGUUGUAUGGGGGAAAUUGAAAAGCAAUUGUAAAGCAUUGAGCUCAAAUGUUGAAAAAUUAAAAUGCAUGAUAAAAAGAAAAAAAAAGAAAAGCAUGAAAGUGAGCUCAAUGUAAAAGAAAAGGGAAGAAGUUGGGAAUAAGUGAGAUUGGUGAGGAAGAGAGUUGUGCUUACAUUUUGAAUACCAUGGUAGCUCUCUUAACUCAAGGACUUUGUAUUCCAGAAAAACCAAUUCUUCUUGUUAGCCUAACCUCAUUACAAGCCUUGGAAAAGUCCUUUUGAUGGCAUUUGCAUGUAACGAUAUUGAUUGUUUGAGAUGAAUGGCAAUUUUAUUUCUUCUGCCUUGUGAAUGAUAGAGAGUGGAGUGUCUGAUGGGUGUCGCCGCCCAUACAAAUUUGAUUGCAUAUUAGAAAUGCAGUAUAGCUAGGAAGUGACUCCUAGGUCGUCUCUCAAGGACCAACUGCGGUUCAGAAUCAGGUCUAGCACAUAGUGGGGGGGUUUGAAAGUGGUUUUGUAAAUGCAAAACGACUAAAUUAAAACACGCAAAUUAAACUUAACUAACAUAAUUGAAACGGUUGGAUACUAAAGCUAACAUUACAACUAAAUUAUCACAACUAAAAAAAUAGAAAGUAUAAAAGUAAACGAAAAUGCUUAAACCCAACAUUGCAAUGACAAUUAUCUAGCAUAGCUAAAAUUACUAAAAUGCAACACUAAAUUAGAGACAUAAAAACAACUAAAAAUACAAUGCAAAAUAAUUUAAAGCAAAAGAAAUUAAAGAAAAAAAAUAAAGUUGUCUUCACUAAUUCAUAUGACCAUUGUGCACCUCCCAAAAGAAAUUGGAAUUACAAUUGCUUAAAAAUAAUUCUCGACCGUGACAUGUAACAACUUGACCGUGUGCUUAAAAAUGAAAUCAACCAUCAAAAAGCUUUCUCUAAUUGAAUUGAUGCUUCACUUUUGAAAUGAAAAUCAAAGUGUUUCAACCACUGUUGUGACCCGUGCACACUUUCUUUUCUAAUUGAAAACAUAAAGCAAAAACAAAAUAAAUAAACAAACUGCAACUUCUUACAAAAUAAAUCAAUCACCAUCUCUUCACAUUUUCUAGCCAUCACCUACCUACACAUUAUAUCUCCAAUUUCAGUUAAAAUUAAACACAUUCCUCCUUCUUCCAGCAACAGACCGUGACCAUCCAACUACUCCCAUCUAAUCUACUUCAUUCUAAAAAAAAUAAAAUCAAACCCCAAAGAUUCCAACCACCGGUCCCACUAUUUAAAGAAAAACAAAGAUGAAAUCA
rnacentral:lncRNA from 1 species